rnacentral:rRNA from 1 species
UACGUAGGCAGCAAGCGUUGUUCGGAGUUACUGGGCGUAAAGGGUGCGUAGGCGGUCGCGCAAGUCGGAUGUGAAAUCUCAGGGCUCAACCCUGAAACUGCAUUCGAUACUGCGUGGCUAGAGUGCUGGAGAGGAGACUGGAAUUUACGGUGUAGCAGUGAAAUGCGUAGAUAUCGUAAGGAAGACCAGUGGCGAAGGCGAGUCUCUGGACAGCAACUGACGCUGAGGCACGGAGGCCAGGGGAGCAAACGGG